UACGAAGGGGCUAGCGUUGCUCGGAAUCACUGGGCGUAAAGGGUGCGUAGGCGGGUUUUUAAGUCAGGGGUGAAAUCCUGGAGCUCAACUCCAGAACUGCCUUUGAUACUGAAGAUCUUGAGUCCGGGAGAGGUGAGUGGAACUGCGAGUGUAGAGGUGAAAUUCGUAGAUAUUCGCAAAGAACACCAAUGGCGAAGGCAGCUCGCUGGGACGUUACUGACGCUGAGACGCGAAAGCGUGGGGAGCAAACAGG
rnacentral:rRNA from 1 species